rnacentral:rRNA from 1 species
UACGGAGGGGGCUAGCGUUAUUCGGAAUUACUGGGCGUAAAGCGCACGUAGGCGGAUUGGAAAGUCAGAGGUGAAAUCCCAGAGCUCAACUUUGGAACUGCCUUUGAAACUCUCAGUCUUGAGGUCGAGAGAGGUGAGUGGAAUUCCGAGUGUAGAGGUGAAAUUCGUAGAUAUGCGGAGGAACACCAGUGGCGAAGGCGGCCUCCUGGACUGACACUGACGCUGAGGUGCGAAAGCGUGGGGAGCAAACAGG